AUACUACUCCCUCCGUCCGGAAAUACUUGUCAUCGAAAUGGGUAAAAGGGGAUGUAUCUAGAUGUAUUUUAGUUCUAGAUUCAUCUCUUUCUAUUUAUUUUGAUGACAAGUAUUUUCGGACGGAGGGAGUACUAA
rnacentral:pre_miRNA from 1 species